rnacentral:rRNA from 1 species
GGCAAACGGGUGCGGAACACGUACGCAACCUUCCUUUAAGAGAUGAAUAGCCCGAAGAAAUUCGGAUUAAUGCAUCGUAAGAUUGUGGGAUGGCAUCAUCCAGCAAUUAAAGAUUUAUUUCGCUUAAAGAUGGGCGUGCGCCUGAUUAGGUAGUUGGUGAGGUAACGGCUCACCAAGCCGACGAUCAGUAACUGGCGUGAGAGCGCGACCAGUCACACGGGCACUGAGACACGGGCCCGACUCCUACGGGAGGCAGCAGUAAGGAAUAUUGGUCAAUGGACGGAAGUCUGAACCAGCCAUGCCGCGUGAAGGAUGAAAGCCCUCUGGGUUGUAAACUUCUUUUAUCUGGGAAGAAACCACCUUUUUCUAAGGGUGUUGACGGUACCAGAGGAAUAAGCACCGGCUAACUCCGUGCCAGCAGCCGCGGUAAUACGGAGGGUGCAAGCGUUAUCCGGAUUCACUGGGUUUAAAGGGUGCGUAGGCGGAUUCUUAAGUCCGUGGUGAAAUCUCCAAGCUUAACUUGGAAACUGCCAUGGAUACUAUUAGUCUUGAAUGUUGUGGAGGUUAGCGGAAUAUGUCAUGUAGCGGUGAAAUGCAUAGAUAUGACAUAGAACACCAAUUGCGAAGGCAGCUGGCUACACAAAUAUUGACGCUGAGGCACGAAAGCGUGGGGAUCAAACAGGAUUAGAUACCCUGGUAGUCCACGCCCUAAACGAUGAUUACUCGACAUUUGCGAUACACAGCAAGUGUCUGAGCGAAAGCAUUGAGUAAUCCACCUGGGAAGUACGACCGCAAGGUUGAAACUCAAAGGAAUUGACGGGGGCCCGCACAAGCGGCGGAGCAUGUUGCUUAAUUCGACGCAACGCGAAGAACCUUACCAAGGCUUACAUUGCCCGGAAACACUCAGAGAUGGGUGCCUCUUCGGAUCGGGUGACAGGUGGUGCAUGGCUGUCGUCAGCUCGUGUCGUGAGAUGUUGGGUUAAGUCCCGCAACGAGCGCAACCCUUGUUCAAUGUUGCCAGCACGCUCCUUCGGGGGUGGUGGGGACUCAUUGGAGACUGCCGGGGUCAACUCGGAGGAAGGUGGGGAUGACGUCAAGUCAUCAUGCCCCUUAUGUCUUGGGCUGCAAACAUGCUACAAUGGCCGGUACAGAGGGCUGCGAUACCGCAAGGUGGAGCGAAUCCCUAAAAGCCGGUCUCAGUUCGGAUUGGGGUCUGCAACUCGACCCCAUGAAGUCGGAGUCGCUAGUAAUCGCAGAUCAGCAACGCUGCGGUGAAUACGUUCCCGGGCCUUGUACACACCGCCCGUCACGUCACGAAAGUCGGCAACACCCGAAGCCCGUGGCCCAACCAGCUUGCUGGGGGGAGCGGUCGAAGGUGGGGCUGGCGAUUGGGACGAAGUCGGAACAAGGUA